AUAAAUGUAGAUAUUGUCUAGUUCCAUUAGGGUAAGAUUCUUUACUCAACUAUAUGAUGUGAUAUAAAUUCAAACUUAAAAUGUGUUAUGUUUAGUAUGCAAAUAUACUUUUCGUGUUUUGUUUUUUUUUGGUCUUAAACUAAAAAAGCAAAAAAUCUGUUUAAGCUUGAUAUUCAGUUCAUUCUAGCCAGUUGACCGCUUCAUUAUCCUUGAAUCAGGCAAAUGAUAAAAAGAUGUAAAAUGGCUACUGGAUUUUUGAAAUGUGCUAAGUUACAAUUAGACACCUAAGCUAUGUAACAUUUAGUUAUUUGUAUCACGUCCAAUUUUAACAAUUUACCAAAACUUGACCCUUUAUCAUCAAACUCCCAGAUGUUGAUUUCAAACGUAUUUAAUAAAAUUGUCACGCAAUAUUUUGGGCAUAUGCACCUACUGGUGAAGCAUAUAAUUUUGAUACUUUGCCAAAUUCCUCGAUGCCGUUUGUUCAAGAAGAACCAAACUGGGCUAGGUCGGUUAACAUUUUCUCGCACUGGACACCGCAGUUUAGGGUUGGGAAGUUAAGUUAUUAAUUGUCAUCGUGGUAAUACCGAUUUUGUUUUAUAACGAAAGUAAAUUUGCUGAGGAUGAAAAACAUUGGCAAACCAUAUGGGCAAGAUUCGAGAAGAUUUGAAUUGGAACAUGUCUGAAGAGUCUCAUCUACAUACUUUGACCACCAGAUGUACAAAGUAGAUCAGUCUACGUCUACCUCUAUAGACACCAGGUAAAGAGGGGGCCACAACAUUACCUACCUACAUCAACGAAACCGAGGGACUCGUCCAUUUAUUUAAAUAAAAAUGUCAACACAUAUGAAGCAUGGUGUUCUAUGUUUGUAAUAAAUCUGUUUAUUUUACCUGACCGAGUUACGGGGU